ACUCUACAGUAGCCGCGCGGCCAGGGUAACCGCGGGCUCGCGUGGGUGCUGCUGGCUACCUGUACAACUUCGUGCUCCGGCGUCACCAGCUAGCUAAAUCCUCGCAACGGUUCUGGGCGAUAGGGGCCGUUUUUGUCCCCCUUCUUCAGCAGAUGAGGGAAUUUGUUUCAAAAAGUUGUUACCUGCUCACGGAAACAGACGUCCUAAGCUAUUAACACAAUCUCCAGCUGUGUUCUAACCAAGACAGGAACCGAAGGGAACAGUAAAAAAUCAUUUUCCGAUUCAUGGAAAAAACUCUGACAAGCACAGAUUUCUGAAAACUUUAAGGUCAUACCACUGGACUCGAGAAAUAUUACUGAACACUUGUUCUGAAGGCUGAUCCUAGACAGCAAGACUCAGAGAAUUGAGAGAAGACAAAAACAUUCAUCUAAUCGGGGCGGCUGGGUGGGGUGAAGUGAACCCAGCCUGAU
rnacentral:lncRNA from 10 species